UGUCUUCACCUUGGAGCCAGCCUGUGGUACCCUGCCACCCAACAGCCACCGGCGCCUACGCCUGCUCUUCAGACCACACCACCCCAUGGGACAUCACAGGAGGGUGGUCUGUCUGCUGCUACACAGGGUGAGGGGCAGGAGGGUGAGGGGCUGGAGGGUGAGGGACAGGAGGGUGGUCUGUCUGCUGCUACACAGGGUGAGGGACAGGAGGGUGGUCUGUCUGCUGCUACACAGGGUGAGGGGCAGGAGGGUGAGGGACUAGAGGGUGAGGGACAGGAGGGUGGUCUGUCUGCUGCUACACAGGGUGAGGGGCAGGAGGGUGGUCUGUCUGCUGCUACACAGGGUGAGGGACAGGAGGGUGAGGGGCUGGAGGGUGAGGGACAGGAGGGUGGUCUGUCUGCUGCUACACAGGGUGAGGGGCAGGAGGGUGGUCUGUCUGCUGCUACACAGGGUGAGGGACAGGAGGGUGGUCUGUCUGCUGCUACACAGGGUGAGGGGCAGGAGGGUGAGGGGCUGGAGGGUGAGGGACAGGAGGGUGGUCUGUCUGCUGCUACACAGGGUGAGGGACAGGAGGGUGAGGGGCUGGAGGGUGAGGGACAGGAGGGUGGUCUGUCUGCUGCUACACAGGGUGAGGGACAGGAGGGUGGUCUGUCUGCUGCUACACAGGGUGAGGGGCAGGAGGGUGAGGGACAGGAGGGUGGUCUGUCUGCUGCUACACAGGGUGAGGGACAGGAGGGUGGUCUGUCUGCUGCUACACAGGGUGAGGGGCAGGAGGGUGAGGGGCUGGAGGGUGAGGGACAGGAGGGUGGUCUGUCUGCUGCUACACAGGGUGAGGGACAGGAGGGUGAGGGGCUGGAGGGUGGUCUGUCUGCUGCUACACAGGGUGAGGGACAGGAGGGUGAGGGGCUGGAGGGUGGUCUGUCUGCUGCACCACAGGGUGAGGGACAGGAGGGUGAGGGGCUGGAGGGUGGUCUGUCUGCUGCUACACAGGGUGAGGGACAGGAGGGUGAGGGGCUGGAGGGUGGUCUGUCUGCUGCUACACAGGGUGAGGGACAGGAGGGUGAGGGACAGGAGGGUGGUCUGUCUGCUGCUACACAGGGUGAGGGGCUGGAGGGUGGUCUGUCUGCUGCACCACAGGGUGAGGGACAGGAGGGUGAGGGGCUGGAGGGUGGUCUGUCUGCUGCUACACAGGGUGAGGGACUGGGGCUCAGACUCUGA
rnacentral:lncRNA from 1 species